CCUAGGGGUCCCUUGCAGGAGCACUGUCAGUGCCAGGAUUACAUGGAGACAAGCUGUGGAAAGCCCGAGGCGGGGGUCAAAGAAUCUGAGAAGACACAACAAGAAGUGGAGAAAAGAAGCCCUGGGCCAACUCCAGUGGGGCAGUAUCUGAGGAAAAAUUACCUAACCAACUGCUCUUCUAAUUGGACAAAGUUUGUUGGAUAUUAUCAUUUAUUAAACUUACAAAAUUAUAGAAAUCUGAUGCCAGGUGUGUCCAUGACUAGCGAGACACCUGGAAGCUUCCAAAUAAAGGCCUGCUUUUUACUGUA